UUCAGGUCAGGUUUAUAAAGGCAGUGUAACAAAGGAGGAGACACAGAGUGAGUUACGCAAGUUAAUGUUCAAAGUAAGUUUAGCUGAAAAUGACAGCUCGGUAAAAGUGCUUCCAUCAAUUAACUCACUUUGACAAGGAGUCUAAAUUUACAAUACAGUGCUUCAGAACAGCUGUAAGAAAAACAGCACGUGGUCUGAUAUGUGGACGCAUGCGUCAGAUUGUAGUAAAUUUGUGCAAUAUUCUAUGUUGGUUUAGGGGAAGGCUCAUUUGAUACAUUCACCCAGUGAUCAUGACCAAAAACAUGGACCAAUGAAACACUGUGCAAACAGAAACAAAUAAAGAUAGAUAAGAAGCAGAUUGACUUUGACCACAAUGAUUGCACAUAAAAUGUGUCACAAAGCAGAAUGCCUGGUUAAUAUUUUGUUAAAAUGAAACCAAACAGUAAUACCUCGAGCAACUCCGAAGCAUGUCUAUGUCAAGAAAACACCAAGCAAGCACUUGCCUAACUAAUGCAACCAACACAGACGGAACUGUCUUCAAGCAUCACAACAGUAAUGAGAAUAUCAGAUGGAGGAAGCCAGUUCCUGCAAA